GAUGAACGCUGGCGGCGUGCCUAAUACAUGCAAGUCGAGCGAACAGACGAGGAUCUUGCUCCUCUGACGUUAGCGGCGGACGGGUGAGUCACACGUGGAUAACCUACCUAUAAGACUGGGAUAACUUCGGGACACCGGAGCUAAUCCCGUAUAAUAUAUUGAACCGCAUGGUUCAAUAGUGAAAGACGGUUUUACUGUCACUUAUAGAUGGAUCCGCGCCGCAUUAGCUAGUUGGUAAGGUAACGGCUUACCAAGGCAACGAUGCGUAGCCGACCUGAGAGGGUGGUCGGCCACACUGGAACUGAGACACGGACCAGACUACUAAGAGAGGCAGCAGUAGCGAAUCGGCCGCAAUGGGCGAGAGCUUGACGGAGCAACGGCGAGUGAGUGAUGAAGGUCUUCGGAUCGUAAAACUCUGUUAUUAGUGAAAAACAAAUGUGUAAGUAACUAUGCACGUCUUGACGGUACUUAGUCAGAAAGCCACGGCUAACUACGUG
rnacentral:rRNA from 1 species